UCUGCUUGAAAGCAGAGAUCCUUUCCAGUCGAGCCUUGAGAUGACCAUAGCCCCAACUGACACCUUGAUCACAGCCUCCGUGGGAGACCCUGAACUAGAGCCUUCCAAUAAGCUGCUCUCAACUUCUUGAGCUGCGGAAACUGUAAGAGAAUCCAUUUGUUGUUUACCGCUGCUAAGUUUGGGAGCUGACCUGUAAGUCACCUAUAGACAUCCGGCUGCCUUCAGCUUGUCUCUAGCUCCUGCCACACGAGCAUAGCUUCUGGGGUCUGGCAACACCACCUCCUCCCACAGCCCCCUAGUCCUACGGGUAGUGGCACCUUCCUACUGUGGCUAAUGUCUGUGUUGCCUGCAGGCCUUUCCUCGCCUUCCUACCCUCUGACCCAUGUAUCCAGCUGCUGGUGUUAACCCCCUGUGUUUUAAAUACCUAGAGUGGUUUCUGUUUCCAGCAUUGCAGGGUAAAGCAGUUCAUCUUCUGUGACACGUAGCCUCACUUGAGCCUUCACGAGUCUGUUUAGAGAAAGAAAAAAAUUAGCGUGGGACCAAGAGUCUUGUAGGUCCUAGAAUCAGUCUUCAGAAAUAAAAUAGGCCAAGACAGAAAGCCACCCGCUGAGCUACCAGGUCGCACACCACAGUUCCGAAAGGCGAUGACAGGGUGACGGAGCAGCCCUCCUCACCACUCCGGUCCACGGCAAGCAUUUGGAGCAGGAGGAAAAGAUUUCAUCCUUUCCACCAAAACCUCAAGUGGAGCUCACAAAUUCCAUUCAUAGAUGUGGAGAACAAACAUCGCCAAUUAAACAUUGCCCUUCUGAUGGACAGCUCAAUAACACAAUGA
rnacentral:lncRNA from 12 species